UACAGAGGUCCCAAGCGUUGUUCGGAUUCAUUGGGCGUAAAGGGUGUGUAGGUGGCGCGCUAAGUCGGGUGUGAAAUUUCGGAGCUUAACUCCGAAACUGCAUUCGAUACUGCGGUGCUUGAGGACUGGAGAGGAGACUGGAAUUCAUGGUGUAGCAGUGAAAUGCGUAGAGAUCAUGAGGAAGACCAGUGGCGAAGGCGGGUCUCUGGACAGUUCCUGACGCUGAGGCGCGAAAGCCAGGGGAGCGAACGGG
rnacentral:rRNA from 1 species